AACGAACGCUGGCGGCAGGCUUAACACAUGCAAGUCGAGCGCCCCGCAAGGGGAGCGGCAGACGGGUGAGUAACGCGUGGGAAUCUACCCAUCUCUACGGAAUAACGCAUGGAAACGUGUGCUAAUACCGUAUACGUCCUUCGGGAGAAAGAUUUAUCGGAGAUGGAUGAGCCCGCGUUGGAUUAGCUAGUUGGUGGGGUAAAAGCCUACCAAGGCGACGAUCCAUAGCCGGUCUGAGAGGAUGAUCAGCAACACUGGGACUGAGACACGGCCCAGACUCCUACGGGAGGCAGCAGUGGGGAAUAUUGGACAAUGGGCGCAAGCCUGAUCCAGCCAUGCCGCGUGAGUGAUGAAGGCCCUAGGGUUGUAAAGCUCUUUCACCGGUGAAGAUAAUGACGGUAACCGGAGAAGAAGCCCCGGCUAACUUCGUGCCAGCCGCCGCGGUAACAC
rnacentral:rRNA from 1 species